rnacentral:lncRNA from 1 species
ACUGAAGGACAGGUUCUUUUCAUUGUAUCUUUACAGUGGCGGCGGGCGAGAGUAAAUUGUUACCACUACAUCAAUUGAGAGAGGCUAACUUUGGUGGCUCAUAAUGAAAGCUCCCAUUGACAAAACAAAAUCAACAGAUCCAGGUAUAAGGAAACCACUUAAGUGUUUUCCAUUUCUUAUUGUCUAAAGGUAAGUAAUUAUAUUCGUAAAACCUAAACAAGCAGUGAAAUUUACCCACACUUACACUUUAACUUGGAUACCAUGUACUAAACAAGUCUUAAGCUUCCUAUAGAAGUGUCACUCCAGCACAUAAAUAUAUCCAUAUUUCUGGGCAGAGUGAAAAAGCCAUAACUUCUAGGGAUGUUCCCACGAAGAAUUUCUGUGUUCACUCCUCAUAUUCAAAAUAAUCCUGAAAUCUAAAAUACGCCAAUAUCUAUUUGAGUAGGUUUCAACUAAGAAAGCAACAUUUGUUUGAUCUUCUGUUAGAAAAAAAAAAAGAGGUAACAGCUAACUAUUGAAAUUUAAGGUAAAAAGACAUUGUGUUUCAGAGACAAGUUAAGAUAUUAUAUUUAACGUAUAAAUCAUUAACAAUAAACUCUAGGCAUAAAAGGGCUGUUUUGUAUCUCCUAAUAUAUUUAUUCUCAGUUGACUUGUUUCCAACAGUGUUCUUCUAAGUUACAGGAACAGAACUCCAUUUCUAUUUUGUACAAUGUAAGAUUCCCCCCCCCCAGGCAAAUAUGAGUGACAAUGACACAAAGUCCUCAAAUGUCAAAGAAAAUAUAUAAAAUUCUACAUUUUUCAGUUACAAUAUUUUUUUAUGGAUUUAAUCAAUGAUAUCAUGCAAUUUAUUUAUAGAAUAAAUGACGAUUUCUCUCCAUGGAACUCUACAAAGUAUGACCAUGAAAAAAAGUCACAAGAAAGUUUUACAACACAUUAAUGUUAACCAUAUUAAAAAAGCAGUGUUUGGGGGGCCAUUAUUUUAAAAAACUCACAAAUGUCCAGCUGCUUAGGGAAGGAGAAGGUCCGUGUGAUGGAGAGGGAGGGUGGGAUUGUACAGAGGAGGAGAUGAGAGAAAUGGAGGAAGUCUAGCUAGAGCAGGCUCAAGAGUGCCUUGCCUGUGGUUUCUGAAGGUUAGAUUUUAUCUUACAAGUCAUAGGGAACCAAUGGCGAGUACUUCUUGGUAUUGAAUCAUCUAAGUCUCAAGUUCCAGCAGUUAAUAAGUGUCAUGAAGAGAGUGCCCUAUGGUUUAAAGGGUUUACUGAGUAUUUUAGAGGAAGUGGUCAAUGGGAGGAUUUGAAUAGCAUUGGGAGUGCUCAAAGAAAGCAAAGGAAGGAUAUUUUAGGAAGAAAAGUGGCUUUAGUGAAAUUUAAUAAAAGUGGACAAGUGUGAGUUUAAACCAGGGUUGCAUUGGAAUCUUAAAACAGUAUCCAAUGGUCGUGUUAAGAGGAUAAGGCUUGCAACCAUCUACCUGAGCUCAAAUAUCAGCCCUACCACAUGCUCCAGGUAAAUAAUCUUGAGCAAAUAGAUUGUUUUGCUUGUAGGCAGUAAAAACAUACUUUGGCUGAUUUAUGCAAAAGAGAGAAAGACAGGUAAGGAGGGAGGAGGAAAAGGGAAGGGAAGGGACUUAUCCACAGAUGUGCAGGAACCAAGAGAUUCAAAUGAAAUCUCCCACCAACGGGCAGGAAGCUGGCAGCUCUGGUGGGUCUGCAGUAAGGACUAAUAAACAUUGUGCUCUUUUAGUGAAACCAUCAGUCUCUUUAUUAUUACUCUCAAAAUUAGUAUCCAAAUAUCGAAACAGCUUGACCAAUGCUAUUAGCAGUUCUCAUUAUGAGGAAUACCAGAUAUGAUCCCUGUUAAGGAGGAUUGAGAUCAGAUCAUAGGAGGAUUUGAGAAAGUGAAGCUAAGGAUUUUGAACUGUAUCAGAUAAUAAGUAGAUUUUUGUUUUGAUUUUUAUUUUAUAUUAAAGCAUAAUAUGUUCUAUACAGCACAAAUCAUACUUAUACAAGUCAAUAAAUUUUUACAAGCUGUAUAAACAGUAAGAAGAGUGGAAUCCAAAAUGCUCCCCCUUCUACAUGGUCAAAUUUUAAGCAUGGAAAUUUAUUUGCAAGAGCAAUAUUUAAUAAAGAUAAUCUGUCAGUGAAAUGAAAAUAGAAACAAAUCCACAAACAUGGAUAUUUGGAUAAUAUUAGAUGAGUAUCAAGCAGAGGAAAUAUAAAAUGGCUGUGAAUAUGGAUGACCAAGAAUGAGGAUGGCACUGACAUUACUAGAAAUCCAGAAUAACACCUAUUGGGGUGGGAAAUAAAUGUAUUAAUUUUUGAAAUAUCAUUUUCUUACCAUAAAGCCAAACACAAAUUCCCUAUGGAAAUAAGUGGAAAGAACAACAUGGAGAAAGUAGAAAAAUACCAAAAAGCAGUCUUCACUCUACUGUAUUCUCUUCAUAUCUGUGUACAUACAGACACAUGCUUUUACAAAUUUAAUGUGAUAGUUUAUGUACUGCAUUAUCCCCUAUGUUUUUUCACUUAAUAUAAAAUUAGCAUGAACUUAUUUUGACCAUAAUGAUUAGCAUUACAAUUCUGUGAAUAUGUUAGGGUCUGUAACAAGUCAGGAUGGCGCCUGGCAUUUUGCCAGAGGGAGUGGUUUGUGAAGUAACUCCAGCAAGCCAUUAAGUGUGGAGAUUCCUUAUUGGUUGACUGUUGUAUCUAGUUUAUGUUAAUUAAGAUAAGCUGUGCGGAAUGUAUAUAUACCCCUCCUGUCCUACAAUAAACGGCUCCCACUCCUGCUGUAUCAAUCUACACAAGUUGCUCAUCACCCCCUGGUUAUUUUGCUGCAGCCAGACUGCGGCAGAUGGUGGCCUGUACCAGGAGCCCCGGGACACUCGGGGGUAAGUGACAAAAAAAAAAAAAAAGCUGCCCGUCCAUAGAUAGGAUGGGAGCUAAUCUGCUUGUCCCUAGAUAGGGCGAGAGGAAAAAUGGCCAUUUUGAGAAAAUGGAAAAGAUUGAUACAGUAUGUUUGUGUCUUGUUUUGUCUUGAAAUGUUGUAUUGUCUUUGUGACGAAAAUAUAGAAGGGGUAUUAAGUAAAUUACUAAGGGAAGGAGGCACCCAGUGGAACCAAGAAUAGUUAGGGCAUGUGUUGAUAACAGCCCAGGAACUCUAGUCAGAAAGAAAAAGAAAGUUCAGAAGAAGAAGGAUUAUCAGGAAAAAAGUUGCAGCAAAAGGCUAUUACUGAAUACUUUUCAUUACUGGAGGGUGCGUGAAUCGGUGCAGCGGCUGCCAUGUGCGCGAGCCGGUCAUGGCGCAGCAAGGACUUUCCAAGCAGCAGCAGCCUGCUCUUCCCUGCCCCCCGCCCGGGGAGCAGGACACCACCAUGAGAGCCCAAAUCCAAACCUGACCCUGAGGCACAGUCUCGCAGGCUUUUGCUCCCUGUGCCCAGUGGCAGUUUGAGUCCAGAACACUCCCUGGACUCUCCCUGGGGCCAUCUGGGGCUGCCCAGGAUGCUGCAGGUGGAAGACAGCCCACGUCCCUGAAGUUUGAUCAUUUCCAAGGCCAGUAACUACAAUGGUUCUCCCACACCUGGAGGCUGAUGAGUAAUGAGCACUAUUAAGGCUUAUUUCAAAUGUAAAAAACCUUGAGAUAAUGUACUAAAUUGUUCAGAAGGUUGUUUUCUUAGUGGAAUGCUACAGGAUUUUCUUUAGCCAUCAUUGCCAGAGUUCCUGCCUUCGUCCCAGUGCCAGUGAGGACGAGGGUGGAAGAAUUUCCAGUGUUGCUGAGAACCGGUGGAGACUUCAGAUCAAGCUAGCUGCCUGCAGAACUUACCUGGACUGUGAUUUAAGCUAGCUGUCUGCAGAACUUACCUGGACUGUGAUUUACCUGGACUGUGAGUUAAUCUAGUGAGACACUGCUUUACCUAGACUGAGACAACAAACUGUAAUCUACAACAAAUUGUAACUUGGUAUCUUUGCUAACGGUGUCAUUGCUGGUAUAAUUUUUCCAAGGGCUUCUUGCAUGGAGCCAUCAAUUGGCUUGGUAUUGUGGCAUUUUGUAUCCUCCCCUUCUGCUUGUAGCAGAUUAUUUAUGGUGUUUGUGUAAAAACCACUAUGGUCAUUAUUUAAAUUAAACAAAGGGGGGAAAUGUUAGAGUCUGUAAACAAGUCACAAUGGCGCCUGGCAUUUUGCCAGAGGGAGUGGUUUGUGAAGUAAUGGCCAGCGAGCCAUUAAGUGUGGAGAUUCCUUAUUGGUUGACUGCUGUAUCUAGUUUAUGUUAAUUAAGAUAAGCUGUGUGUAUUCAGUAAUGUAUAUAUACCCCUCCUGUCCUACAAUAAAGGGCUCCCACUCCUGCUGUAUCAAUCUACACAAGUUGCUUGUCAACCCCUGGUUAUUUUGCUGCAGCUGGACUGCGGCAUGAAUACAUUUGUUUGGCU